rnacentral:rRNA from 1 species
UACGUAGGGGGCAAGCGUUGUCCGGAUUUAUUGGGCGUAAAGAGCGUGUAGGCGGUUGGGUAGGUCCGUUGUGAAAACUCGAGGCUCAACCUCGAGACGCCGAUGGAAACCCCCUGACUAGAGUCCGGAAGAGGAGAGUGGAAUUCCUGGUGUAGCGGUGAAAUGCGCAGAUAUCAGGAAGAACACCCGUGGCGAAGGCGGCUCUCUGGUACGGUACUGACGCUGAGACGCGAAAGCGUGGGGAGCGAACAGG